rnacentral:hammerhead_ribozyme from 1 species
UUCCAGAUGACGAGUCCCAAAUAGGACGAAAUGCGCAGCCUGGAU